GCGGGAGUGGCGAGAUUGGUAGACGCGCAGGACUUAGGAUCCUGUGCCGCAAGGCGUGUGGGUUCGAGUCCCACCUCUCGCA
rnacentral:tRNA from 1 species